UAAUAUGUAUAAUUUUAGAUUCGGAUUUUGUAAAUUACUAUAAUCAAGUCUCACUAUCUAGAUUAGUUGACUAAAUAUUCAUAUAUGUUACUGAUGUGAAAGUAAUAUGACAUUUUAAUUAUUAUCGUGUAAUCAAUCACACCGCUGUUAUAUUAUUUCAUAUUAGCGACAAAUCCAUAUUUAAUUAGCCAAUGAAAUUGUAUGACUUAGCUGCAAUAAUUCAAAAAAAUCGAACUAGAUAUUAUA
rnacentral:lncRNA from 1 species